GAUGAACGCUGGCGGCAUGCUUAAUACAUGUAAGUCGAACGAGGUGCCUUUGUCUUCGGAUGAGGGUAUCCUAGUGGCGAACGGGUGAGUAACGCGUUGGUGACCUGCCCCGAAGUGUGGGAUAACAGUUCGAAAGGACUGCUAAUACCUCAUGUUGUUGCCGGGUUUAGAAGCUGGCAACCAAAGGCGUAAGCCACUUUGGGAGGGACCUGCGUCCCAUCAGCUAGUUGGUGAGGUAAUGGCCCACCAAGGCGAUGACGGGUAGGGGACCUGAGAGGGUGGCCCCCCACAAUGGUACUGAAACACGGACCAUACACCUACGGGUGGCAG
rnacentral:rRNA from 1 species